rnacentral:rRNA from 1 species
UACAGACGGUCCAAACGUUAUUCGGAAUCACUGGGCUUAAAGAGUUCGUAGGCGGUCAGGAAAGUGGGGUGUGAAAGCCCUCGGCUUAACCGAGGAAUUGCGCUCCAAACUCCCUGACUUGAGGAGGCUAGAGGUAAGCGGAACUGAUGGUGGAGCGGUGAAAUGCGUUGAUAUCAUCAGGAACACCGGAGGCGAAGGCGGCUUACUGGGGCCUUUCUGACGCUGAGGAACGAAAGCUAGGGGAGCGAACAGG